rnacentral:rRNA from 1 species
UACGGAGGGGGCUAGCGUUGUUCGGAAUUACUGGGCGUAAAGCGCACGUAGGCGGCUUUGUAAGUUAGAGGUGAAAGCCCAGGGCUUAACCCUGGAAUUGCCUUUAAGACUGCAUCGCUAGAAUCGUGGAGAGGUGAGUGGAAUUCCGAGUGUAGAGGUGAAAUUCGUAGAUAUUCGGAAGAACACCAGUGGCGAAGGCGACUCACUGGACACGUAUUGACGCUGAGGUGCGAAAGCGUGGGGAGCGAACGGGG